rnacentral:tRNA from 1 species
GGAGGGAUUGAGUCACUGGUGUGGCUUGCGGUCUUCAAAACCGUGGCGCGAGGCUGAGCCUUGCGGGUGGGUUCGAUUCCCGCAUCCUUCCG